rnacentral:lncRNA from 1 species
GCUCAGAGGAGUAUAUGCCUAAGAUAACAAAGUUGAGUUAAAGUAGCAAAAAAGAGUGACGUAGAGAGUUUCUAUCAUUGGUUAUUCAUCACUGGGCAUUCAUCCGAUCUCUCAUGCGAUGGUUCAUGAUAUUAAGAUUGGACUAGAGUAAGAAAGGAAAAAAUGAUGAUUGGAAAAAAUAAAGAUAGAAGAAUUUACUUGAUGUUCGGUCCACAUUAAGAGGGUCCAACCUAUUGUUGCAAUUUGGAUUGGUUAUGCAAAAAUUUUGAAGAUGGGUGUGAUUGUUUUUAGAAGCCAAACAAGUAAAUCCAUUCAACCACUUGAUUUCAUUCAUUGAAGAAAGCCAAAGGAUUAUAUUAAAUUAGAAAAAUCCAUCCCAAAUGAACAUUCUACUAAAGAUUAUUAGUAUGCACAAAGAUCUAGAAAUUCGGAAAAGUAAGGGUUAAUAAUGCGCGGCAAUAAUAUAAAAACCUAUGUUUGGAAUUGGACAUCAUGCAAGUUUUACAUUUUCUUCAGGUCUAUAAUGAAAAUAUUUUUUUUUAGUAUACACAUCAGAGA